rnacentral:rRNA from 2 species
AAGUCUGACGGAGCAACGCCGCGUGAGUGAUGAAGGUUUUCGGAUCGUAAAGCUCUGUUGUUAGGGAAGAACAAGUACAAGAGUAACUGCUUGUACCUUGACGGUACCUAACCAGAAAGCCACGGCUAACUACGUGCCAGCAGCCGCGGUAAUACGUAGGUGGCAAGCGUUGUCCGGAAUUAUUGGGCGUAAAGCGCGCGCAGGCGGUCCUUUAAGUCUGAUGUGAAAGCCCACGGCUCAACCGUGGAGGGUCAUUGGAAACUGGGGGACUUGAGUGCAGAAGAGAAGAGUGGAAUUCCACGUGUAGCGGUGAAAUGCGUAGAGAUGUGGAGGAACACCAGUGGCGAAGGCGACUCUUUGGUCUGUAACUGACGCUGAGGCGCGAAAGCGUGGGGAGCAAACAGGAUUAGAUACCCUGGUAGUCCACGCCGUAAACGAUGAGUGCUAAGUGUUAGAGGGUUUCCGCCCUUUAGUGCUGCAGCAAACGCAUUAAGCACUCCGCCUGGGGAGUACGGCCG